rnacentral:tRNA from 1 species
GGAGGGGUAGCCAAGUGGUCAUACGGCGCCGGUCUCGAAAACCGAGCGGAGUGAAAACUCCACGUGGGUCCGAAUCCCAUCUCCUCCGCCA